GAUGAACGCUGGCGGCGUGCCUAAUACAUGCAAGUCGAGCGAACAGACGAGGAGCUUGCUCCUCUGACGUUAGCGGCGGACGGGUGAGUAACACGUGGAUAACCUACCUAUAAGACUGGGAUAACUUCGGGAAACCGGAGCUAAUACCGGAUAAUAUAUUGAACCGCAUGGUUCAAUAGUGAAAGACGGUGUUGCUGUCACUUAUAGAUGGAUCCGCGCCGCAUUAGCUAGUUGGUAAGGUAACGGCUUACCAAGGCAACGAUGCGUAGCCGACCUGAGAGGGUGAUCGGCCACACUGGAACUGAAACACGGACCAGACGCCUGCGGGAGGCAGCAGUAGGGAAUCUUCCGCAAUGGGCGAAAGCCUGACGGAGCAGCGCCGCGUGAGUGAUGGAGGUCUUCGGAUCGUAAAACUCUGUUAUUAGGGAAGAACAAAUGUGUAAGUAACUAUGCACGUCUUGACGGUACCUGAUCAGAAAGCCACGGCUAACUACGUG
rnacentral:rRNA from 1 species